GGCAAAAAAAUUGUGUCUGAGACUGACGGCUUCUGCUGUCGCAAUGGCCAGAUCGAACUUAAACAACCUGAGCCAAUCCCAGAGCUGAUGAGGCUAUGGUCAAGCAUGGAUGCAGAUUCUAGACAUUUUCGGGAAAACAUACGCUUCUUCAACGGGCAUUUCGCCUUCACAACCCUUGGCGUUAGCCUUGAUGAGAACUACACAAACAUGAAGUCUGGGGUGUACACAUUCCGGGCACACGGCACCAUCUACCACAAUGUGCAUUCGUUCGGGCCUAGCUCCCAUCCUGAGCAUCUGCAGUUAUACUUCUAUGAUGAUGACCCAACCAUCACUCAUCGUAAGGCGGCCACCAAGCAAUUAGACCAAGAUGUCGUGAAGAAGUUAGUA
rnacentral:rRNA from 1 species